rnacentral:lncRNA from 1 species
ACAAACAAAAAAAACUCUUAGUUCCUAAAGACGUUCAAACUCAAAUUUCAAAUGUGCUCUACUCGCCCAGUGUAGCUCAGCCUGGUCUCAGCCCGUUGCCUCUGCCAGCACUGCUGGGCUUCCUUAACUCCUGCAGGAAUUCAGGACCCAUGGAUUCAGUGCCCUCCUAACUCUCAGAAUAGCCUCGUUGGCACAUUAAUAUGGAAUGUGCCCCCCGGGACUUUGCAUAUGUUAUUCCCUCCAUUCCUUUCUCAUCUGCCUUCUCCACAUUCACUUUACAGAAGAAAGGCGAACAGUCACCUUCUUCAAGGAGCCUCUCCUGACCACUCCUGCCUGCUUCCCUUCUUGUGUGUUUGCACGGUACCUGGCACUCCUGUGUGCCUGUUUGUCUCCCUGCCAGACUCCCCCUAAGAGCUGGGACCAUGCCCUGCUGUAUCCUUGGUGCUUGGCACAUUCCUUGGCAUGGAAUAGAAUUCAAAAUAUUUGGAAUAAACAAAGGACGCCGCCAUAGGGAUUCCCAGCUGGUUGACUCAUCCUUCUGUGGAAGCCAAAGAAUGGACCCAGACAUGGAUGAAGGUCGGGUGAAGGUCAUGAACACUGCAACACAGGCGCCAUCCCAUGUGACGUCCUUUCUGAACGACUCCACUGAAGACGAGCUUUGCUCUGACUCGCGAGGCCUGCGAAGCCAGGCAGAAGUCAGGGUGUUGGGAAACGGCCAAAGAGAGGAGAUAAGAGGUUGUGGCUGUGGCUCCAUCCUGGUUGAAGGCCUGGUCACUAAACACAAGCCCGGAUGAAGACACUCACCUUCUUCCCAAGGGUUCUCAGGCUGAAGGAGAAGUUGUUUUUCAUUUUUUCUUUUUCUUUUCUUCCAUUUUGUGUUGAAUUUCCAAUCCAUUAUGAACCCACACUUUUGUAAUGCUCAGUAAAAACGGAUUACUAAGAAAAUGGUCAUGCACCUGAGUCUUGAAACAACGUCAGAUUUUCUCUGAGUUCCUACAUGCUUCCUGUCCAUUUCUGUAUCGACUUUGUCGUUCAUAGGGAACAGUCAGACUUGCUGCCAAAGACCACACUUCAAGAAAUGACAUUCUAACAGACAUCGCUUCCACGUUUUUCUCCUUUCUUCCUACCAAAAGAAUCUAACACGAUCUUUCAAAAUGUAAAUUAGAUUGUGUCAGCCCACAGCUCACAAAACCACAGGAAGAGGGGGAGGGUUGUGAACAGACUUUCAAGACAGAUCUCUCGGAUUUAAAUCUCUGCACACCACUUCAUAGAGUUAGUGGCCCUGGGCAAGCCACCUCAUUUCUACGUGUCCCAUUUUCCUCAUCUAAAAACUGCAUCUGCUUCAUAGGGUUGCCGCAAGGAUUAAAUGUGUUCAUUUUUGUAAAAUGCUUAGAACGACGUCUAAGGCAUGGUAAGUACGUAUGCUACUUUUACUGUUAUUACGCAUCAUUAGCGUGGCCUACAGCAUCCUGCCUUCAUAAACGUCAUGCGUCAUUGUCAUCGUUGUUUUCGUUAUUUACAUGGCCUAUGAGUCCCUCCCUCUCUCUCUAGCCUCAUCUGAAUAACUAAGGCAUCAAGCCAGCCUCUUAACACAAGAUAAAAGAACAAUACAUUCAGGAUUUCAUGCAGAUCAUCUGUGGAGGGCUAGAUCAUUUCUCAUGGCAUUUCUCAGGGACGGGGGAGCCUGGUGGGCUGCCGUCUAUGGGGUCGCACAGAGUCGGACACAACUGAAGCAACUUAGCAGCAGAUCAUUUUUCAUCUAAUAGCCACCCCUUUCUCUCCACUUACGGGAGA